AGCAUUGUGACAGAGGGAGAGGAGGUAAGCUGUCUGGUACCUUCUUCUCUUCCUGGGACUAUGGUUCCAGACCCAGGAGAAAGUUGAGUCCUCCAUUCCUCACGGCCUUCAGUGAAUUUCUUGGUUUAUAUGGCCUCAUCCGACAGAAUCUGUUUCCCACAGUGAAAGAGGAGGAAGACAUUAGGGUGGAGGAACUGGAUAAAGACUGUGGAUAAAACUGGUGUGUGUUCAUCAACAUCUUUGGAACUAGAAAACACAAUCCAGGGCGUUCCUUAGAUGUGGAAUCUCCUCACGUCCAAAUGAAGCGUCAAAUGAGCAGUCAAAGGGGUCAGGACUCAGGCUUCAAAGAUUUUGGAAGCUCGUGGUUUGUCAAAACAAAAAGAACAAAUGGAAUUCCAGGUCACCUCUGUUCAGCAGCAGGGCCAGUAGUCAUACUGGAUGGAACUUCCCUGUGGCUCUCAGGUCAAGCAGCACUAAUCUAUUUGGAAGAAUCAAGGUCAUCUACCAGCAGUGCCUUGGGGACUAUUUAUGGUGCAUCUUGCAGGGACUCUGACUUUCAUCUUUAAAACAGAAACGAAGCACUCGACCGUUUCUUCGGACAUGUCAGAAGAAAAUCUCCAGCUAAGGGACAUUGAGAGCCCUUCCAACUCGCCCUGAUUCCUCCCCUUAAAGAUUCCCUUUUCCCCAAAAUGUCCACUACUCUUAUGAUCAUAAAACCCAACUCUUCUUCCCAUCUUUAAGAAAUAAUUUUGAUCUGAGACAAAACUGUCCUCUCCUCCAUUCAGCAAAUCCUAGACAGUCUGACAUUUGAGAGAACACCUCACCUAAAAUUAAGAAACAAAACAGUAUUCUCUAAACUGGCAGAGAACAUGCCUACCGUGUACAAGGCCCUGGAUUCUCUAUCACUUAUAAUGAGAGUUUAAAAAUGGUUUUUAGGAAGUCCAUCUGAAGAGAAGCUGGUCAUGAAUCCAAAGUGAAGCCAGUGUCGCUUGGGUGCUGGGAGUGACAGACAGCAGGCUGGCAGCCACCACUACUCAUUCUGUCUCCCAGAAAGUGGCGAAGAUCCACAGAGCACUCACAGUUCCAGAUUUUAUCCUAGGAGAGCACACAGCCUGGUUAACCAAGAACCGGGACAAGUGUGCAAUAGAUUAAGGAGAAUGGAAGACUAUUAGCUUUGUCCACUGUCCUUCCCCAGCCCUCUGUGUUAUAGAAACUGAAGACAGUGCUCUAUUAUUUGAACGUGGAGAGAUGACACCCUUCCCAGCUCAGUCCAGGCAAAACCUCACAGUGUAUAAAUAGAAUUUUUCACAGUGAGAGUUAGAUGGAAGUCUACAGAAUUCUUAAUAAAUGGCUACUAUGUGCUAAGUGUUGUAAGAAUGUAAAAAGGCUCACAAAGACAAGAAAAUAUAGUGUUGCCCUUCAGGGAGCAUGUAGCAAACAGAGAAGAAGGCAAGCAUCAGUCUCCCUAUGGAGAAAGGGAGUCCAUAAGACCUUUGUUCUCAGCUGGACCAGCGUACUUGAGAAGAUGGAGAGGUUCAGCUGAAGCAGGGAGCAGAGGAAGGGAGCUAAGACCAACUGCAAUGCUCUAAGCAAGAAGAAAUAAGGCCAGACUGGGAAGUGUUUCUGACAUGGGAAGGAUCCAUAUGGGGAAGCCCUCCUGCAGGCUAUGAUGGCCAUCACCAUGAGUGGAAGACUGAGAGGAUUCAGGAAUCAAAAUAAGCCCAGGAUGCAUGCCAUGAGGGGUUGGAGGGCAAUGCAGCCAUCCAUCACCCUUGUUCAGGAAAUCAGGAGAUCCUAUUUGGAGAAGAAGUGAUGCAUCUCUUAUCCAAGAUGCUUAGGACCAGAAGGGUUUUGGAUUUUGGAUGUUGGAGUACUUACAUAGACACAAUGAGCUACCUUGGGAGGGUAUUGCUUUGUAGGCCAGGAUGGCCUUGAAAUCCUCCAGCAUCAACCUUCAGAAUUCUGGGAGUACAAGCAUGGGCCACUGUUCCUGGCUCUGAGAAUUGCUUUAAAUAUCUUCUUGCAUUUCAAGCCAAGUGGGAUGGCACACACUCUAGAGGCUGAGGCAGGGGGGUCAUAAGUUUAAGUCUAUCCCAGCAUGCACAGCGAGACACUACGUAUCAGUCAAUCAAUAUAUUCAAAUUUCAAACAAACAGAAAGUAAUUAGAAAAAGCAUAGGUAGAAGGUAUUUUGAUGCUGUGUUUAAUUGGAAUCGUAAGAGACUAGGUUUUAAAUCUCCAUUUAUUGAUAAACUCAGCUUAUGACUCUAGGCCAGUCAUACUACAUAAAACUACAACAAUAUCUGGUGGCAUUUAUGUAGAAACGUGCCAGAUAUUUCAUUGUAUAAACAUAAUAGAAUGUUUUUCUUGUCAUUUUACUCUUUAAAAAAAGACAAAGAAAAAAUUAUGAAGGUGAAUCCAAGAUACUUAUUCAAUCGGAAACCCAAGUGUGGUGCCUCGUGCCUAUGAUUCCAGCACUUGGGAAACUGAGGUAGAAAGAUUGCCAAAGCUUAAGGCCAGUCUGGGCUACAUAGUGAGCUCUAGUCCAAUCUGGACCAAUCUGUAGAACAAGGUCCUGAAGAAAAAAAAGUCAAAAUGAAAUUCAACUGUAACAGAAACAGCCCAAAACAGUAGUCAUCGUUGCCGUGAUGAAGGCUCAUCCCAAAGUGCUCCUUUAAAACAUCCCCAUGCAGAGGGCUCUAUCACCCCAAGUGACACUCAAGGUGGCUUUCUCAAGGCCAGGCAGGUGGCAAAUAGCAGGGCUGGCACCUUAAACUCAAGGUCAAAACACUUGACCUUGAUGUUCAACUAUCCAUGUCCUAACACGAAAACUAGGCAGGUCACCCUCCAUCGGGGCAAUAAUCAGACAUCAGAGCCAGAUGAGAAAACAGAGCGAAAUACAUGCCUGGGCAGAACACUGCAACCAGGAUCUGAGGGAGCAAGAGGAACUCUGUCCAGGGUUCAGUGGAGUGUCUGGAGUUCAAGUCUUGACUAAUUCAAUCUUCUGUGGAUGGUCAGUGCUAUGAGAAAGCUCCGAACCAGAUCACAAGCAGGACAUCUCAGUCCUUGGGAGCUGCACAGCUAUUGCUGUUGGAUUCCGUAUCUGCGACGCCAUCACCUCCGUGAGAGAGAAAGGAAGACACAAAAUUGCCUGUGUCCCCAGCAGCAGCCAUAUCUUCCCACUGCUGCAUUCAUCUCUAGUAAUUUUCUAACAGGGUGACAUUUGCUUCUCUUUAUCUCAUUGACUAAUGUCAAAAGCAACAGAAAAAAAAUGAAAACAUCAGUGCCCUAA